GUGACCUCAAAUCAGGUAGGACUACCCGCUGAACUUAAGCAUAUCAAUAGGCGGAGGAAAAGAAACUAACAAGGAUUCCCCUAGUAACUGCGAGUGAAGCGGGAAAAGCUCAAAUUUAAAAUCUGGCAGCCUUUGGUUGUCCGAGUUGUAAUCUAGAGAAGUGUUAUCCGCGCUGGACCGUGUACAAGUCUCCUG
rnacentral:rRNA from 1 species